GACGAACGCUGGCGGCGGGCUUAACACAUGCAAGUCGAACGAAGUGGCGAAAGGGUGAGUAACGCGUAAUCAACCUGCCCUUCAGAGGGGGACAACAGUUGGAAACGACUGCUAAUACCGCAUAAGGAAGGAGGGGGUGGCGUCUGAUUAGCUAGUUGGAGGGGUAACGGCCCACCAAGGCGAUGACCAGUAGCCGGUCUGAGAGGAGGAACGGCCACACUGGGACUGAGACACGGUCCAGACUCCUACGGGAGGCAGCAGUAGGGAAUCUUCCGCAAUGGGCGAAAGCCUGACGGAGCCACGCCGCGUGAGUGAUGAAGGUCUUCGGAUCGUAAAACUCUUUUAUUAGGGAAGCGGUACCUAAUCAGAAAGCCACGGCUAACUACGUGCCAGCAGCCGCGGUAAUUC
rnacentral:rRNA from 1 species